AGAGUUUGAUCCUGGCUCAGGAUGAACGCUGGCGGCACGCUUAACACAUGCAAGUCGAGCGGAGUAAAGGCUUCGGUCUUUGCUUAGCGGCGGACGGGUGAGUAACACGUGGGUAACCUACCCCAUACAGGGGGAUAACGUAUAGAAAUGUACGCUAAUACCGCAUAAGCCAACAGGGAGGCAUCUUCUGGUUGGAAAAGCGCUAGUGGUAUGGGAUGGGCCCGCGACUGAUUAGCUAGUUGGCGAGGUAAGAGCCCACCAAGGCAACGAUCAGUAGCCGGUCUGAGAGGAUGGACGGCCACAUUGGGACUGAGACACGGCCCAGACUCCUACGGGAGGCAGCAGUGGGGAAUAUUGCACAAUGGGGGGAACCCUGAUGCAGCGAUGCCGCGUGAAGGAAGAAGUAUUUCGGUAUGUAAACUUCUAUCAGCAGGGAAGAAAAGAGACAGUACCUGAAUAAGCAGCCCCGGCUAACUACGUGCC
rnacentral:rRNA from 1 species